AUUGAACGCUGGCGGCAUGCCUUACACAUGCAAGUCGAACGGUAACAGGUCUUUCGGGAUGCUGACGAGUGGCGAACGGGUGAGUAAUACAUCGGAACGUGCCUAGUAGUGGGGGAUAACUACUCGAAAGAGUGGCUAAUACCGCAUGAGAUCUAUGGAUGAAAGCAGGGGACCUUCGGGCCUUGUGCUACUAGAGCGGCCGAUGGCAGAUUAGGUAGUUGGUGAGAUAAAAGCUUACCAAGCCUACGAUCUGUAGCUGGUCUGAGAGGACGAUCAGCCACACUGGGACUGAGACACGGCCCAGACUCCUACGGGAGGCAGCAGUGGGGAAUUUUGGACAAUGGGCGCAAGCCUGAUCCAGCAAUGCCGCGUGCAGGAUGAAGGCCUUCGGUUGUAACUGCUUUUGUACGGAACGAAAAGUACUUGGGUUAAUACCCUGGGAUCAUGACGGUACCGUAAGAAUAAGCACCGGCUAACUACGUGCCAGCAGCCGCGGUAA
rnacentral:rRNA from 1 species